UCCUCCUUCCCUUCUGUGACGUAAUAGACGAGGUUAUAAAUAUGGUGAAUUAUACAUUCGAGUAGCUUCCAAGAUCAA
rnacentral:misc_RNA from 1 species